AUUGAACGCUGGCGGCAUGCCUUACACAUGCAAGUCGAACGGCAGCGGGGACUUCGGUCCGCCGGCGAGUGGCGAACGGGUGAGUAAUGUAUCGGAACGUACCUUUCAUUGGGGGAUAACGUAGCGAAAGUUACGCUAAUACCGCAUAUUCUCUGAGGAGGAAAGCAGGGGACCCUCGGGCCUUGUGCUGAUGGAGCGGCCGAUAUCAGAUUAGCUAGUUGGUGAGGUAAAGGCUCACCAAGGCGACGAUCUGUAGCGGGUCUGAGAGGAUGAUCCGCCACACUGGGACUGAGACACGGCCCAGACUCCUACGGGAGGCAGCAGUGGGGAAUUUUGGACAAUGGGCGCAAGCCUGAUCCAGCCAUGCCGCGUGAGUGAAGAAGGCCUUCGGGUUGUAAAGCUCUUUCGGACGGGAAGAAAUUGGUGGGGCUAAUAUCCCCAUCGGAUGACGGUACCGUAAUAAGAAGCACCGGCUAACUACGUGCCAGCAGCCGCGGUAACAC
rnacentral:rRNA from 1 species